CCUACGGGGGGCUGCAGUGAGGAAUAUUGGUCAAUGGGCGCAAGCCUGAACCAGCCAUCCCGCGUGCAGGAAGACGGCGCUAUGCGUUGUAAACUGCUUUUCCAGAGGGCGAAUAGCUUCUACGUGUAGAGGUAUGACGGUACUCUGGGAAUAAGCAUCGGCUAACUCCGUGCCAGCAGCCGCGGUAAUACGGAGGAUGCGAGCGUUAUCCGGAUUUAUUGGGUUUAAAGGGUGCGUAGGCGGAAAAAUAAGUCAGUGGUGAAAACCUGCAGCUUAACUGUAGAACUGCCAUUGAUACUGUUAUUCUUGAGUAUGGUCAAGGUAGGCGGAAUGUGUAAUGUAGCGGUGAAAUGCUUAGAUAUUACACAGAACACCAAUUGCGAAGGCAGCUUACUGGACCAUUACUGACGCUGAUGCACGAAAGCGUGGGGAGCGAACAGGAUUAGAUACCCCGGUAGUC
rnacentral:rRNA from 1 species